AGUGGGGAAUAUUGCACAAUGGGCGAAAGCCUGAUGCAGCCAUGCCGCGUGUGUGAAGAAGGCCUUAGGGUUGUAAAGCACUUUCAGUCGUGAGGAAAGGUGUGUGCUUAAUACGUACAUACUGUGACGUUAGCGACAGAAGAAGGACCGGCUAACUCCGUGCCAGCAGCCGCGGUAAUACGGAGGGUCCGAGCGUUAAUCGGAAUUACUGGGCGUAAAGCGCGCGUAGGUGGAUUGGUCAGUCAGAUGUGAAAGCCCAGGGCUCAACCUUGGAACUGCAUCUGAUACUGCUAGUCUAGAAUACAGUAGAGGGUAGUGGAAUUUCCUGUGUAGCGGUGAAAUGCGUAGAUAUAGGAAGGAACACCAGUGGCGAAGGCGACUACCUGGACUGAUAUUGACACUGAGGUGCGAAAGCGUGGGGAGCAAACAGGAUUAGAUACCCUGGUAGUCCACGCCGUAAACGAUGUCUACUAGCCGUUGGAAGACUUGAUCUUUUAGUGGCGAAGCUAACGCGAUAAGUAGACCGCCUGGGGAGUACGGCCGCAAGGUUAAAACUCAAAUGAAUUGACGGGGGCCCGCACAAGCGGUGGAGCAUGUGGUUUAAUUCGACGCAACGCGAAGAACCUUACCAACUCUUGACAUCCAGAGAAGAGGCUAGAGAUAGCUUUGUGCCUUCGGGAGCUCUGAGACAGGUGCUGCAUGGCUGUCGUCAGCUCGUGUUGUGAAAUGUUGGGUUAAGUCCCGUAACGAGCGCAACCCUUGUCCUUAUUUGCCAGCACGUAAUGGUGGGAACUCUAAGGAGACUGCCGGUGACAAACCGGAGGAAGGUGGGGACGACGUCAAGUCAUCAUGGCCCUUACGAGUUGGGCUACACACGUGCUACAAUGGCCGGUACAGAGGGCGGCAAACCUGCGAAGGUAAGCUAAUCUCACAAAACCGGUCGUAGUCCGGAUUGGAGUCUGCAACUCGACUCCAUGAAGUCGGAAUCGCUAGUAAUCGUGGAUCAGAAUGCCACGGUGAAUACGU
rnacentral:rRNA from 1 species